GACGAACCACACAAGCGUUAUUCGGAAUUACUGGGCUUAAAGGGUGCGUAGGCGGCGCAGAAAGUAGGGUGUGAAAUCCCUCGGCUCAACCGAGGAACUGCGCCCUAAACUACUGUGCUCGAGGGAGGUAGAGGUGAGCGGAACUUAGGGUGGAGCGGUGAAAUGCGUUGAUAUCCUAAGGAACACCGGUGGCGAAAGCGGCUCACUGGACCUCUUCUGACGCUGAGGCACGAAAGCGUGGGGAGCAAACAGG
rnacentral:rRNA from 1 species